rnacentral:lncRNA from 1 species
UCGUGGAUUCGCAAAAAAAGCUUUUGCUGCUAACAUUGCAACUCUGCUGCCACUUGGUUCCAGUAUGCAGGAAUCAUGAUAGCAGCAACGCCGGUCCCAAAACUCCCCACGCACCAUGGUUGCAAAAAAUUCCUGACGCUGGCUUGUGCAAUGUAUCAAAAAUACAAAUAGCGGUUGUAGAAAAUUUGGACACUGGUUGUAACAAAUUUGGACAUCGAUUGUAGCAACAAUUCCUGAUGCUCGCUUGUGCAGUGUAACAAAAAUGCAAAUGCCGGUUGUAGCAAAUUUGGACACUCGUUGUAGCAAAUUUUGACACCGGCUAUAGCAACAAUUCCUCGCGAUGGCUUGUGCAAUGUAGCAAAAAUGCAAAUGCCGGUUGUAGCAAAUUUGAACACUAGUUGUAGCAAAUUUUGACACCGGUUGUAACAAAAUUGAUGAUGACAGUGGUGCCCGUGGUGACCAUGCAGCUCCACCGGACCAUCGUUGCAAUUCUCGUGGACUGUGGUUCCAGCCAAAAAAAAACUUGGUUCCAGCAAAAUAAAAACUGGUCAAGAUCUUGAACGUCGGCCGCCGCAGGGUCUCCAGUACUUGUAUCGGUCAUCUUUCAGCACCAAUGGAUGCUGGUUGCAGCACUUGUCGCCAUCGCCAAUCCCUGAGGAAGAGCAUGCUCAUGCAUGCGCCGAGCUAUGUGGUUCUUCUCUCAUGGCGAAGGGAAGGAGGUAGGAAGAAAU